UGUAUUCCUAAAUGAAGUAAGUCGCUCUGGAUAAGAGCGUCUGCUAAAUGACGUAAA
rfam:Salmo salar isolate Sally breed double haploid chromosome ssa14, whole genome shotgun sequence.